rnacentral:misc_RNA from 1 species
GUGUGUGUGUGUGUGUGUGUAUUUCUUUUCCUUUUCUUCCCUUGGAGUUUUUUCCAUUGCAUGAUAUAAAAAAUUCUCUCGUUUCCAAAGUUGAAUUUACAUUCCUUUUCCUCUUUUUUGAAGUAAUGCAGGUAAUGAAAGAAACAGAAUGACCUAGAAAACGCACUAAACAAUAUCCAAUUGAAUCUAAUCAAUAAACACAGAGUAAACUUUCAAAGAACAUUACUACUAAAGCUAUUUACAAACAAACCCACAAAUUUCAUGCAAGAUCAACAUACGCCAUUUCAUAAUAAAAGCUAAGCUUCAAAUACGCGCACUAAAAACAGGAAACAAAUGAAUACAACAAACUUAUCGAAACAGAAUCUAAAACGACUGAAAUAUGAGCAAAAAGAAACUUUAACAGGUACAAGCGCAUGAAUGUCCGUACAUUGUGCGGAUUUAACGUUAACUAAUACUAGAAAAAAUAAAUAAAUAAAUGAAACAAAUAUGCAAGAGCACAUAAAAUUUUAAAACCCAAGCAUAUAAAUGAGAAAGCAAUCAGAGAAAAUGAAAGCUAAUUGAAACAGAAAUGGAGAAAACGAAGAGAAGAGGAACGGAUCUGAAAGGAAACGCAGAGACCAGAAAUCAAAAGAAUAAUUUUAAAAAACAAAAACAGAACUACGCAAGAGCAAGGGAAGAG